rnacentral:rRNA from 1 species
AUGAACGCUGGCGGCGUGCCUAAUACGUGCAAGUCGAGCGAACGGACGAGAAGCUUGCUUUUCUGAUGUUAGCGGCGGACGGGUGAGUAACACGUGGAUAACCUACCUAUAAGACUGGGAUAACUUCGGGAAACCGGAGCUAAUACCGGAUAAUAUUUUGAACCGCAUGGUUCAAAAGUGAAAGACGGUCUUGCUGUCACUUAUAGAUGGAUCCGCGCUGCAUUAGCUAGUUGGUAAGGUAACGGCUUACCAAGGCAACGAUGCAUAGCCGACCUGAGAGGGUGAUCGGCCACACUGGAACUGAGACACGGUCCAGACUCCUACGGGAGGCAGCAGUAGGGAAUCUUCCGCAAUGGGCGAAAGCCUGACGGAGCAACGCCGCGUGAGUGAUGAAGGUCUUCGGAUCGUAAAACUCUGUUAUUAGGGAAGAACAUAUGUGUAAGUAACUGUGCACAUCUUGACGGUACCUAAUCAGAAAGCCACGGCUAACUACGUG